rfam:Schistosoma curassoni strain Dakar, Senegal genome assembly, scaffold: SCTD_scaffold0001570
AUCCAGGUGACGAGUCCAAAAUGGGGCGAAACGCGCGUCAAACUGGAU